UUGGAGGGCAAGUCUGGUGCCAGCAGCCGCGGUAAUUCCAGCUCCAAUAGCGUAUAUUAAAGUUGUUGCAGUUAAAAAGCUCGUAGUUGAAUUUCGGGAUUAGUACGUCGGUCGUGCCUUAGGUACGUACUGGUGUUACUGGUUCCUACCUUCUGACGAACCAUCAUGUCAUUAAUUUGGUGUGGUGGGGAAUCAGGACUGUUACUUUGAAAAAAUUAGAGUGUUUAAAGCAGGCUCGCGCUUGAAUACAUUAGCAUGGAAUAAUGAAAUAGGACGUUGAUCCUAUUUUGUUGGUUUCUAGGAUUGACGUAAUGAUUAAUAGGGAUAGUUGGGGGCAUUAGUAUUCAAUUGUCAGAGGUGAAAUUCUUGGAUUUAUUGAAGACUAACUACCGCGAAAGCAUUUGCCAAGGAUGUUUUCAUUAAUCAAGAACGAAAGUUAGGGGAUCGAAGACGAUCAGAUACCGUCGUAGUCUUAACCAUAAACUAUGCCGACUAGGGAUCGGAUGAUGUUAUUUUUAAUGACUCAUUCGGCGCCUUACGGGAAAC
rnacentral:rRNA from 1 species